rnacentral:rRNA from 1 species
UUUUAGAGUUUUGUAUCAUGGCUCAGAUUGAACGCUGGCGGCAGGCUUAACACAUGCAAGUCGAGCGGGGAAAGGUAGCUUGCUACUUAACCUAGCGGCGGACGGGUGAGUAAUGCUUAGGAAUCUGCCUAUUAGUGGGGGACAACAUCUCGAAAGGGAUGCUAAUACCGCAUACGUCCUACGGGAGAAAGCAGGGGACCUUCGGGCCUUGCGCUAAUAGAUGAGCCUAAGUCGGAUUAGCUAGUUGGUGGGGUAAAGGCCUACCAAGGCGACGAUCUGUAGCGGGUCUGAGAGGAUGAUCCGCCACACUGGGACUGAGACACGGCCCAGACUCCUACGGGAGGCAGCAGUGGGGAAUAUUGGACAAUGGGGGGAACCCUGAUCCAGCCAUGCCGCGUGUGUGAAGAAGGCCUUUUGGUUGUAAAGCACUUUAAGCGAGGAGGAGGCUACCGAGAUUAAUACUCUUGGAUAGUGGACGUUACUCCGCAGAANAGCCCCAUU